AACGUAGGAGACAAACGUUAUCCGGAGUUACUGGGCGUAAAGGGCGUGUAGGCGGUUUGUUAAGUCUGGCGUGAAAGCUCUCGGCUAAACCGGGAGAGGUCGUUGGAUACUGGCAAACUAGAGGAUGGUAGAGGCGUGUGGAAUUCCGGGUGUAGUGGUGAAAUGCGUAGAGAUCCGGAGGAACACCAGUGGCGAAGGCGACACGCUGGGCCAUACCUGACGCUAAAGCGCGACAGCAUGGGGAGCAAACAGG
rnacentral:rRNA from 1 species